CCUACGGGAGGCAGCAGUAAGGAAUAUUGGUCAAUGGGCGCAAGCCUGAACCAGCCAUGCCGCGUGCAGGAAGACGGCCCUAUGGGUUGUAAACUGCUUUUGAACAAGAGAAAACCUCGGUACGUGUACCGAGCUGAUAGUAUUGUUAGAAUAAGCAUCGGCUAACUUCGUGCCAGCAGCCGCGGUAAGACGAAGGAUGCAAGCGUUAUCCGGAUUCAUUGGGUUUAAAGGGUGCGUAGGCGGCCUGAUAAGUCAGUGGUGAAAUCUCUCAGCUUAACUGAGAAACUGCCAUUGAUACUGUCGGGCUUGAGUACAGAUGAUGUGGGCGGAAUAUGACAUGUAGUGGUGAAAUACUUAGAUAUGUCAUAGAACACCGAUUGCGAAGGCAGCUCACAAAACUGUAACUGACGCUGAGGCACGAAAGUGCGGGGAUCAAACAGGAUUAGAUACCCUGGUAGUCCGCACCGUAAACGAUGAUUACUCGUUGUUGGCAAUAUGACCGUCAGCGACCAAGCGAAAGCGAUAAGUAAUCCACCCGGGGAGUACGCCGGCAACGGUUGAAACUCAAAAGAGAGUAGAGNGNGAGAGACGACGGACGACACGAGGGAGGAGG
rnacentral:rRNA from 1 species